UGGGGAAUAUUGGACAAUGGGUGAGAGCCUGAUCCAGCCAUGCCGCGUGCAGGAAGAAGGCGUUAUGCGUUGUAAACUGCUUUUGCCAGGGGAUAAAAAGACCGUGCGCGGUUAAUUGAAGGUACCUGGUGAAUAAGCCACGGCUAACUACGUGCCAGCAGCCGCGGUAAUACGUAGGUGGCAAGCGUUGUCCGGAUUUAUUGGGUUUAAAGGGUGCGUAGGUGGCCCUGUAAGUCAGUGGUGAAAUAUCUCAGCUUAACUGAGAGGGUGCCAUUGAUACUGCAGGGCUUGAGUACAGAUGAGGUAGGCGGAAUUGACGGUGUAGCGGUGAAAUGCAUAGAUAUCGUCAAGAACACCGAUAGCGAAGGCAGCUUACCAAGCUGUAACUGACACUGAGGCACGAAAGUGUGGGGAUCAAACAGGAUUAGAUACCCCAGUAGUCCCUGAGCGGGCUGGCAAGGCGCAU
rnacentral:rRNA from 1 species